GACGAACGCUGGCGGCGUGCCUAAUACAUGCAAGUAGAACGCUGAAGAGAGGAGCUUGCUCUUCUUGGAUGAGUUGCGAACGGGUGAGUAACGCGUAGGUAACCUGCCUUGUAGCGGGGGAUAACUAUUGGAAACGAUAGCUAAUACCGCAUAACAAUAGGUGACACAUGUCAUUUAUUUGAAAGGGGCAAUUGCUCCACUACAAGAUGGACCUGCGUUGUAUUAGCUAGUAGGUGAGGUAACGGCUCACCUAGGCGACGAUACAUAGCCGACCUGAGAGGGUGAUCGGCCACACUGGGACUGAGACACGGCCCAGACUCCUACGGGAGGCAGCAGUAGGGAAUCUUCGGCAAUGGGGGCAACCCUGACCGAGCAACGCCGCGUGAGUGAAGAAGGUUUUCGGAUCGGAAAGCUCUGUUGUAAGUCAAGAACGAGUGUGAGAGUGGAAAGUUCACACUGUGACGGUAGCUUACCAGAAAGGGACGGCUAACUACGUG
rnacentral:rRNA from 1 species